rnacentral:tRNA from 1 species
CCUCUCAUGGCGUAGUGGUAACGCGCCCCAACUAGAGAUUGGGGAGUCGUGAGUUCGAUUCUCACUGAAAAGA